rnacentral:rRNA from 1 species
AUGCGUGGGCAAGGAUAUGAUGGGGCAAGCAACAUGAAAGGGGAGAUUAAUGGGUUGAAAACAUUGAUCAUGAAUGAGUCACCCUCUGCCUAUUACAUCCAUUGUUUUGCACAUCAACUUCAGUUGGUUCUUAUAGCCGUGGCUAAGGAAAAUGAACCAUGUUUGUGGUUCUUUGAUCAUGUUUCUUACUUGCUCAAUAUUGUUGGAGUUUCUUGUAAGCGCCAUGACAUGCUUCGAGAUGUUAGAGCUCAAAAGGUUUUGGAAGCACUUGAAAUGGGUGAGAUUGAAAGUGGAAGUGGGCUAAAUCAAGAGAUGGGACUAGCUAGACCCGGCGAUACUCGUUGGGGUUCUCAUUUUAAAACCAUUAUGCACAUUGUCAGCAUGUAUUCCACAAUCCUUGAAGUACUUGAUGCUAUUGGAAAAGAUCCUUCACAAAAACGUGAGUGGACAAGAAUACGUGGAGUUGCUCAAGCCAUUGAAUGA